GACGAACGCUGGCGGCGUGCUUAACACAUGCAAGUCGAACGGAAAGGCCCUGCUUUUGUGGGGUGCUCGAGUGGCGAACGGGUGAGUAACACGUGAGUAACCUGCCCUUGACUUUGGGAUAACUUCAGGAAACUGGGGCUAAUAUCGGAUAGGAUCUCCUGCAGCAUGGUGGGGGUUGGAAAGUUUCGGCUGUUGGGGAUGGUCUCGCGGCUUAUCAGCUUGUUGGUGGGGUAGUGGCUUUCCAAGGCUUUGAAGGGUAGCCGGCCUGAGAGGGUGGCCGGCCACAUUGGGACUGAGAGACGGCCCAGACUCCUACGGGAGGCAGCGGUGGAGAGUAUUACACAAUGGGCGGGAGCCAGAUGCGACAACGCCGCGUGCGGGAUGACGGCCUUCGGGUUGUAAACCGCUUUCGCCUGUGACGAAGCGUGAGUGACGGUAAUGGGUAAAGAAGCACCGGCUAACUACGUG
rnacentral:rRNA from 1 species